CACGUAGGCACCAAGCGUUGUCCGGAUUUAUUGGGCGUAAAGAGCUCGUAGGCGGUUCGGUAAGUCGGGUGUGAAAACUCUGGGCUCAACCCAGAGCCGCCACCCGAUACUGCUGUGACUUGAGUGCGGUAGGGGAGCGGGGAAUUCCUGGUGUAGCGGUGAAAUGCGUAGAUAUCGUAAGGAAGACCAGUGGCGAAGGCGGGUCUCUGGACAGUUCCUGACGCUGAGGCACGAAGGCCAGGGGAGCAAACGGG
rnacentral:rRNA from 1 species